ACACCUUGGCUAGGUACAAUGC
rnacentral:miRNA from 1 species